rnacentral:rRNA from 1 species
GAAUCAUACCAAUAAGCGGAGGAAAAGAAACUAACAAGGAUUCCCCUAGUGACGGCGAGUGAAGCGGGAAGAGCUCAAAUUUGAAAUCUUAAAGGGUUUCCCUUUACGAAUUGUAGUUUAAAGAAGUGUUUUCUGUUGGAGUUUCGGUAAAAGUUCUUUGGAAUAGGACAUCAUAGAGGGUGAGAAUCCCGUAUUUGACCGUUACUUUCCAGCUGUGUGAUACACUUUCAAAGAGUCGGAUUGUUUGGGAAUGCAGUCCAAAAUGGGUGGUAAAUUUCAUCUAAAGCUAAAUAUUGGCGAGAGACCGAUAGCGAACAAGUACCGUGAGGGAAAGAUGAAAAGAACUUUGAAAAGAGAGUUAAACAGUACGUGAAAUUGUCAAAAGGGAAGCGUUUGACACCAGUGUUGUUUAGUUGAAAAUCAAUUAAAUAAUUUUUGAUUUUGAGUAGUAUUGACUUCAUCAGCUUGCUGCUUUCUUUUCGGAAAUUAUUUAAUGCACUUUUCAGUUAACAAGUCAACAUCAAUUUCUUUUGUUGUAAAAGGGUAAGAGGAAGGUGGCUUACAUUUCGGUGUAAGUGUUUAUAGCCUUUUACCUCUGCAAUCGGAGAGAUUGAGGCCAGCAGCGUAGACUCUUCGGGGUUAGAUACACUUGUGCUAAGUUAUAGCCUUGUAUAGACAAUUUGUUGACUAUACUCAGUCAUGUAGCUUACUCGCUUGUAGUAUUUCACCUACGCUUAGGAUGUUGACAAAAUGGUUUUAAACGACCCGUCUUGAAACACGGACCAUCU